rnacentral:rRNA from 1 species
UGCGAUCUCAACUCAUACGUGACUACCCCCUGAAUUUAAGCAUACUAAUAAGCGGAGGAAAAGAAACUAACCAGGAAGGGCGAAUUC